rnacentral:rRNA from 1 species
CAGCAGCCACGGUAAUACGAGGGGGGCAAGCGUUGUUCGGAAUUAUUGGGCGUAAAGGGUGCGUAGGCGGCUUGACAAGUCUUGUGUGAAAUCUAUGGGCUCAACCCAUAGUCUGCACGGGAAACUGUCGGGCUUGAGAAUGGGAGAGGUGAGUGGAAUUUCCGGUGUAGCGGUGAAAUGCGUAGAUAUCGGAAGGAACACCUGUGGCGAAAGCGGCUCACUGGACCAUUUCUGACGCUGAUGCACGAAAGCUAGGGGAGCAAACAGGAUUAGAGACCCCCGUAGUCCCUGUCUCUUAUAC